GCCCGGCUGGCUCAAUCAGUAGAGCAUGUGACUCUUGAUCUCAAGGUUAUGAGUUCAAACUCCACUCUGGGUA
rnacentral:tRNA from 1 species